rnacentral:rRNA from 1 species
CUCUACGGCCAUACCAGCCGGUACGCCCGAUCUCGCCUGAUCUCGGAAGCUAAGCAGGGUCGGGCCUGGUUAGUACUUGGACGGGGAGACCGCCUGGGAAUACCAGGUGCUGUAAGCA